AAAACCCCAAGAAGUUUAAGCUCUUGUGUUAAUCUAAAUUAAACAAGUUUUACUAGGUGUGUUUAUAAAUCCAAUCAAUGGAAAAGGAAAUCAAUUGAAUUAUUAUAUAGAUAACAAUUUAUGACAUAUAUCUUAAUGAAAAAUUAAUAUUGUGGAAAUUAAACCUUAUCUUGAAAUUGAUUGGAGGAGAACCCUUUUUCUUUUUCUUUUUUUUUUUUUUGGUUUAAAUUCUUUUUCAAUCCUCUCUAUGCAUAAUAAAUAUUUUUGUAUUUCGGCAAACACCCACCUCUAUUAUUGCCAUCCUCGAAUUAAGUGAUUCCCGAAAAUGACCUUACAAAAAAUUAUUAAAAGGGAAAAAUGAUUGCAUUACCCUCGUGUGGUGAGAAUAGAACUGGUCCAGCAAAUGCUGCUUGCACGGGCAAAACAGUCUUUUGGUUCAAAGACUUCGAGUCACAACUCAAAUUACCCAGCUUUAGCUUAAUAACUCAAGUCAAUCUUUGUAAAAAUGUAGCCAAAGAAGAGAAGAAAAC
rnacentral:lncRNA from 1 species